rnacentral:rRNA from 1 species
GAUGAACGCUGGCGGCGUGCCUAAUACAUGCAAGUCGAGCGAACAGAUGAGGAGCUUGCUCCUCUGACGUUAGCGGCGGACGGGUGAGUAACACGUGGAUAACCUACCUAUAAGACUGGGAUAACUUCGGGAAACCGGAGCUAAUACCGGAUAAUAUAUUGAACCGCAUGGUUCAAUAGUGAAAGACGGUUUUGCUGUCACUUAUAGAUGGAUCCGCGCCGCAUUAGCUAGUUGGUAAGGUAACGGCUUACCAAGGCAACGAUGCGUAGCCGACCUGAGAGGGUGAUCGGCCACAUUGGAACUGAGACACGGUCCAGAGUCCUACGGGAGGCAGCAGUAGGGAAUCUUCCGCAAUGGGCGAGAGCCUGACGGAGCAACGCCGCGUGAGUGAUGAAGGUCUUCGGAUCGUAAAACUCUGUUAUUAGGGAAGAACAAAUGUGUAAGUAACUAUGCACGUCUUGACGGUACCUAAUCAGAAAGCCACGGCUAACUACGUG